UUUCUACAAGAGAUGGUGUGCGAAACAGUUUUUAAUGGAAAGGAAGAACUUAGUCAAUCUCUUCUUGAAAGCAAGCGAGGAAGACAAGCUGAAGGUAUUGGAAUUGUAUAUGCCAGAUACUGAGGACAUCAAUGAAGACUGAUGAAUG